CAGAGUGUAAAAACUCCCAAAACCCAUGUGAACAUACCUUUUUGUUGCUUCGGCGGGAUCGCCCCGGGCGCCUUGUGUGCCCCGGAGUCAGGCGCCCGCCGGGGGACCCAAACUCUUGUUUUUAACGAGUAUCUUCUGAGUACGUUUUUAAAUAAAUAA
rnacentral:misc_RNA from 1 species